CCUACGGGUGGCAGCAGUGAGGAAUAUUGGUCAAUGGCCGGAAGGCUGAACCAGCCAUGCCGCGUGAAGGUCAGUGCCCUAUGGGCGUUAAACUUCUUUUGUGCGGGAGCAAUAAUGGUCACGUGUGGCCAGACGAGAGUACCGUACGAAUAAGCAUCAGCUAACCCCGUGCCACCAGCCGCGGUAAUACGGGGGAUGCAAGCGUUAUCCGGGUUUAUUGGGUUUAAAGGGUGCGUAGGCUGUGAGGUAAGUCAGCGGUGAAAUGCCCCCGCUCAACGGGGUGAAGUGCCAUUGAUACUGCCUGGCUGGAAUGCGGAUGCGGUGGGAGGAAUGUGUGGUGUAGCGGUGAAAUGCAUAGAUAUCACACAGAACACCGAUUGCGAAGGCAUCUCACGAAUCCGCGAUUGACGCUGAUGCACGAAAGCGUGGGUAUCAAACAGGAUUAGAUACCCGAGUAGUC
rnacentral:rRNA from 1 species